AGCGAAUGCUGGCGGCAGGCCUAACACAUGCAAGUCGAACGGACCCUUCGGGGUUAGUGGCGGACGGGUGAGUAACACGUGGGAACGUGCCUUUAGGUUCGGAAUAGCUCCUGGAAACGGGUGGUAAUGCCGAAUGUGCCCUUCGGGGGAAAGAUUUAUCGCCUUUAGAGCGGCCCGCGUCUGAUUAGCUAGUUGGUGAGGUAACGGCUCACCAAGGCGACGAUCAGUAGCUGGUCUGAGAGGAUGACCAGCCACACUGGGACUGAGACACGGCCCAGACUCCUACGGGAGGCAGCAGUGGGGAAUCUUGCGCAAUGGGCGAAAGCCUGACGCAGCCAUGCCGCGUGAAUGAUGAAGGUCUUAGGAUUGUAAAAUUCUUUCACCGGGGACGAUAAUGACGGUACCCGGAGAAGAAGCCCCGGCUAACUUCGUG
rnacentral:rRNA from 1 species